CCACUCCUUCUAAAAAUCAGUGGGAAAAUAUCCUCGGGGGAGGAUUUAAAACAAUAAAAAUAAAAAAUAAAGUGGGCAGUGAUCUGAUCUUAUCAGGAGAUUCGUUCUCUAGUGAACAUUUUAACAAGAUCCAAGUUAAAGGUGUGCUUAUUUAUUGAUAAUAUCAAUGGUAAAGCUGCCUUAUUUCCCAAACAGCCUGUGUGUCUGUGUAAAUACAUAAAUAUAGAUGUGGCUUUUAAACUUCAACUUUUAUUCAGUUCCACUUCCCGGGAUGUCCCAUGAGACACACUUGGAGGGAGGCUAAGGUGGGGGCGGCCUUAAGAAUAUUCCAGUGAAGAAACACAUUCCAUGAGCUACACAUGAAGACAUUUAGCUGCUCUGUAACUGGGGUGGGAGGAGGAGAUGCUGAGCUGAGUGAGACGAAGAAAUGAACACGUUUGCGUCCAGUUCCCUUACGGUGAAGUGGGCGUAUUGGCCCCUGUCCUGGGGUCUGUCCCUCCCAGGUUGUGCCCGGAGCUCUGAGCACCUGGUCGCUGCUGCCACCUGCUUCCACCUCCAGCCUCCACCCCGUGCCCAGACCACAGACCUGCCUGGCCCACCCGCAAGCCCCCCUCUUCCUGUCCUUCCUCCCCAGGACCUCGGGAGCACACGGAGCUUCUGUGAUUUAGACCAUUGGAAUGAAUACUUAUUCUAAGUGUGGAUGUGUUUUGGGGACACCCUGUACAUACCAGUUGAAUCAAUAAAUAUUUAUCUGAAUGGAAGGUAUGCAUUCUGUGACUAAGAGGGAGAAAGUCCCUUUCUUGGCUUUCUACUGAGAAUUUUAUAUUGACGAUUAGCUAUUUUGGGUUUGGAUAAAAUAGUAUCUUUAUAUUUUUAUAACAGGUACAUUUCAAUAUCCAUUUUACAAAUCAACAUAACUGUUCAUGGUAAAACAUAAUUUUGUCCUGUGGAAUAUUAUUAUCCUUAAUGAUUCAGGUAAUUAUACUUCCUGUUGAAUAUUAUUACCCUUCAUGAUUUCAGAUAAUUAUACUUCAGCAAAUGGCUCCAUCCGUUUGAAUUUUCACACUAUAAUUACCUUCCGUGUUCACUCUAUGAAAUUACCCCUCAGACCUUCCCCGGGGGCGUUGAGACCCGGGUGAGCUAGGGAACAGGUGCGCUGUGAGGGUGAGCACAGCCUCACGUGGUUCUGACGAAGGAAAUUCGCAUCUGGUUUGAGUCCUGAAGUUGUCCCGGUCCCUGUAACAGGGGAGAAACCCUGGGCUCUGCCUGUGGGUGGGAACGCUGGGGGACCCGCUGCCUGGGAGGGGCCUGGGUUCCUAGGCCCCGAGGCUUUCCCUGGAGCUGGGGACCUCCUGGUGCUAAAAUCGCGUCCUUGGUCCUGAAUGUGCACACACAGGCGUGUUUGAGCUCCUGCUGGGGGCCAGGCUCUGUGCUGGGAACUGGACGAGACGGGAGCCCCGGACAGAGGCCCAGGCCGGACACCCAGGAGCCAUGUGUGGGAUCUUGUCCUCCCAGAGGAAGCCGCCAGGACCCACGGCUGUUUUCACUUGAACCAGGUCAGGCCCAGAACAGUUUCGUUGCUAACGUCUCUUCACACGUUUCUCCUGGGAGGAGCCCAUUGUUUUUCCGCUAAGAAUGUGUUCUCUUUAUUUUUAUUGAUUUAUUUUGGUUAAUUCUCCUCUGAGGAUAUUUUUCCAUUGAUUUUCAGGGAGAGUGGAAGGGAGGGGGAAAGACAAAGAGAAACAUUGAUGUGAGAGAAACAUCGAUUGGUUGCCUCCUGUACGUGCCCGACCAGGGCCCGGCCGACGCUCCAUCCACAAGCCAAACCGGCCAGGGCUGCUCUCCUCUUCAGAGGUCGUUCCCUGUCACGAAACUGCAAGAAGAGGAGCAGAUCAGUCCCAGGUCACGCAAAUGUGCUACCGUGCCUUUCCUCGGAAAGAUCGUAACUCUAAUGUCACACGUGUAAGUCCCUAUCCACUGGAUGCCCACGGGGUGCUGCCCCUUUAACAAAGUCACUGCAGACGAUUACACAGAGACAGUAAUUGCACUGAAAUUAUAUUCGAUUACAAACUAUGAAAGUGUCGUGUCACUUUGUGGUUAAGAAUUAAGUCGAUACAUCAUUACUCGGAAUUUCUAACAGACGUCCUUUAACAUCCGCUGGUUUUGUAAUCCUGGAGUCCGUGGAGGCAUCUGCGAUUUUCAUGGAGCUUGUAGAUUUAAGUGAAAAGCUUGCAAGUACAGACAAGUCAGAUUAGCCUCGUUUUUAUUUAGCGUAGACGCUUAACCGCAUGUUACUGCGUCCAAUGUGUUGGACCGAGUUUUCAAUUACAGCUCAGUCCGAGGUUCCCCUUAUGGGUGAGCAGAUUCGAGGAGACGAUGUGCAUAGUAAACACCAGGACAGAAGGAACAGCCUCCUUGACAAACGCACAGCAUCUGGUGACGAGUAAUCCCGGGAGAUGUUUGCCGCCUACGGAUCUGCGAGGACGGCGUGACCGUAAGGACACGUGUUUCUGAGUCGUCGGGACUCUGCCAAAAUGGGGAAAAACAACAUAUUUUGGAUGCUAAUCCCCCGUUUUCAUCCUGCGUUUCCUAAUUAAAUCGAAGACAAAAAGAAGGUCUGGUUUAUCACCCACUUUAGCAAGAACACAAUUCCUGCAAAGCUCACUUCUCUACCAGCAGUCGAUCCGACGUGGGAGCCCGCCAGAGCCGUCAGGCUUCGGGAUGAGAUACUGAGGGAUAGAACGUCACCGACCAGACCCGCGUCCCGCUGACACACUCCACGCCUGAGCGCCUCUCGGCCCCUGGCUUUCUAAGCGCCAGUCAGCCCCGGCAGGAGCACGGCUUCUGGUGUGUGUGUGUGUGUGUGUGAUUUUCUGUAUGACUCUCCCAGGAUGAAAGAAUUUGUAAAACAUGCCACACCUGACUUUAGUCAGGGCACUGGCCUCUUUCCCUCAGAUUGUCAAAUAAAGAACAACAAUGGCCAUUCUGGUCUGAAUGAA